UAAAAAAUAUUAAAAAUCAUUUUUAGAAACUAGAAAUUAAAAGAAGAAUAAUGCAAAUGGUCUCACAUUUUUUGGACCAAUAAUAAAGGAGAUAUGAUUUUUUGAAAUGAAAUGGAAUUAAAGAAAUAAAAAGAAAAUUAAAAUCAGAAAUUAAAAUAGCGAAAAAACGUGGAGAGUUGGAUGCAGAGCUCAUUAAUUGAGCUGACAAAUCGCUUGGUCCACAC
rnacentral:lncRNA from 1 species